GGAUCGAAUUGGAGCUACAGCUGCCGGCCUACGCCACAGAUGCAGCAAUGCUGGAUCUGAGUCUCGUCUUCAACCUACACUGCAGCUCAUGGCAAUGCUGGAUUCUGAACCCAUUGAUCGGAGCUGGGGAUCAAACUGGAAUCCUUUUACUUCACUGGGUUACCAGCUGUGAGCAUCCAUGUUGCUACAGAUGCCCUUCUUUCCGUCUUCUUACGGCUGAGCAAUAUCGCGGUGGGUGUGUAUGUAUCACAUCUUUGUUAUCCUUGCAUCUUGAUGGACAUUUAAGUUGGCUCCAUGGCUUGGCUGUUGUAAAUAGUGCUUCUAUGAACAGUGGGGCCCAUGGAGUUCUCAUGAUGUAUGUCAAAGAGUAGGAUUGCAACUCUGUUUUUAGUUUUUUGAGGAACCUCCAUACUGUUCUCCACGGUGGAUGUACCAAUUUACAUUCCCACCAAUAGGGCAGGAGCAUUCCCUUUUCUCCACACCCUCUCCAGCAUUUGUUAUUCGUAGACCUUUUGGGGGGGGGGUGUAUGGAUUGAAUUGGAGCCACAGCUGCAGCCGGAGCCACUGCAGUGGGAUCCUUACUGCACUGCACUAUAGCAGGAUCUCCUAUUAUUUGUAGACUUGUUUUCCCAACUGUAUUAGUCUCUUUAUUCUUUUCCUAAGUCUCUCCAGAGUUAACCACUUUCUUUUGCAGGUGAUGAAAUCGGUAAGGAAUCCACUUUAGGUGUUGGCACUGCUGUGAGCAUGGUCUUUCCUUUAUUUCAACUCAGUUACUUUUAUUCUUCUUCAUCUUGCAAGUCUGGGAUGCAGUUUUCAGUGUAGAAUUUAUCUGAAGAUGGCCUUCAGAUUUCUAGUUGUGGUCUAUAGCCGGGUGCUAGCUUCUCCAGGAAGGGUACACAGCAUGGAUUUAGAUGUUACAUAGUAAAUUCUCUGAAAUGAGUUUAAAUGCAUUUUAUUCUUAGACAAGCUGUAUGACAUGUAUUUCUCAAAAGCAAUGUCUCUGCUUCAAAGAACUCAAUGUUAAAAUAAUGAGCUCAAGAUGCAGCCCGUCCCGUUUGUCUCAGUCCUGGUGAUGUGUGGACGAAAAGCAUCGGCCAGCCAGUUAUGACAUCGGGUCCACUUUGUUAACAUUUGUCAGCGGUUAAUGAAUCCGACCAGGAUCCAUGAGGACGCAGGUCCGAUCCCUGGCCUUGCUCAGUGGGUUAAGGAUCCAGCGUUGCCAUGAGUUCUGGUGUAGGUCACAGAUGUGGCUCGGAUCCCCUCUUGCUGUGGCUGUGGUGUGGCUGGCAGCUGUAGCUCUGAUUCUACCCUUCGCCUGGGAACUUCCAUAUGUCACCAGUGCAGCCCUAAAAAG
rnacentral:lncRNA from 1 species